AAGUUAGUAAAAUUGUAUUUAAUUAUUUUGAUUAUUAUAUUUAUUACAUGAUCUCCUUCCAAAGUGUGCUAAAGGGACUCAAAGAACACAUUGAUAUAUUUAAGAGAUAUUUGGUAAUGAUUCUAGAAUUCUGAAGGUAGAUUUUAUGUGAUUUUAUUUCAUUUUUAGAACUAUUUUACUACAAUUGCAAGUUAUUUAAUUUUAGGAACAAAUAUUUGAAAGAUUGAGUCUUGGAGCAAAAGAAAUGAAAUUUGAAGCUGAUUCGCGGCAAAAAUAUGAAGAUUCUAUGCAAAAAUAUCAGACACAGCCCGUGCCUCAACAAUUCAAAGCCAAAAAGCCAAGUCAGAGAGUUGGCACGGCCUGUGCCUCCAGUGGCACGACCGUGCCACCACCACAACACUCAUUUUGCUGCUUUUACUUCUCGGACAAGUUGCCUGUUUAAUUCUAUGUAAAGCCCAUAGUUUCUUGUGGAACAUUCUAUUGAUGUAUUUCUUGGGGUUUAAGUAGUUGUAGACUAUAAAUAGAGAAGCUAGCAAACAUAUUGAAUCAUCUUUUGUUCUCUGAAAUUAUAAGUGACAACUGUUUCUUUGAAUAAAUGUUCUCCUUUUUAUUUAUUUAUUUAUUUAUUUUCUUUUAUGUUCUUCUCAUUCUUCUCUUCUAUGUCUACAAUGAACAUGUGUGAGUAGACUCUUCUUGUCUUGGGAUUGUUGGAUGAGUCUAAUGACCUAAUCCCUAUCAAACCAAGCCUCGAACCCUAAUUUUAUGUAAAUCUAUUUUCUAAUCUAUUCACCGUUUUUAUAAUGAAUUAACAAGUAUCAAAUUCAUAAAGUGACAACAGAGGAGGGUUAGUACUUGUUUAUUCAUAAUCACAAAUAUCAAGCGAAGUACCGAAAGAAGAAGUUUUGAUAUUGAAACAAGUGAAAUCAAACAAGUAUUGCAAAACAUGAGAAUAGUCUAGCAAACCAUGAGACAAUAAAGUUUCAUUCUUCAAGGAUUUCAAUAGCAAUCAACCAUGAGAAUAAAAGUGGUUGCUGGAGAAACACACUCGCUGAGACCGAAAGGAGAUGUGAUAAGCUAAAGAGAAACUUGUCUUUAGAAAAUAGGUCCAACAUAAGAUUUUAGGUUUAGGGUUUGAUUUGUGAAGGAUUUGUUACCAUGACGAACCAAUAAUUCCAAGACGCUU
rnacentral:lncRNA from 1 species